rnacentral:rRNA from 1 species
AUUGAACGCUGGCGGCAGGCCUAACACAAGCAAGUCGGACGGUAACAGGAAGCAGCUUGCUGCUUCGCUGACGAGUGGCGGACGGGUGAGUAAAGUCUGGGAAACUGCCUGAUGGAGGGGGAUAACUACUGGAAACGGUAGCUAAUACCGCAUAACGUCGCAAGACCAAAGAGGGGGACCUUCGGGCCUCUUGCCAUCAGAUGUGCCAAGAUGGGAUUAGCUAGUAGGUGGGGUAAAGGCUCACCUAGGCGACGAUCCCUAGCUGGUCUGAGAGGAUGACCAGCCACACUGGAACUGAGACACGGUCCAGACUCCUACGGGAGGCAGCAGUGGGGAGUAUUGCACAAUGGGCGCAAGCCUGAUGCAGCCAUGCCGCGCGUAUGAAGAAGGCCUUCGGGUUGUAAAGUACUUUCAGCGGGGAGGAAGGCGUUAAGGUUAAUAACCUUGGUGAUUGACGUUACCCGCAGAAGAAGCACCGGCUAACUCCGUGCCAGCAGCCGCGGUAA